rnacentral:rRNA from 1 species
AGUGAACGCUGGCGGUAGGCCUAACACAUGCAAGUCGAACGGCAGCACAGGAGAGCUUGCUCUCUGGGUGGCGAGUGGCGGACGGGUGAGGAAUACAUCGGAAUCUACCUUUUCGUGGGGGAUAACGUAGGGAAACUUACGCUAAUACCGCAUACGCCCUUCGGGCGAAAGCAGGGGACCUUCGGGCCUUGCGCGGAUAGAUGAGCCGAUGUCGGAGUAGCUAGUUGGCGGGGUAAAGGCCCACCAAGGCGACGAUCCGUAGCUGGUCUGAGAGGAUGAUCAGCCACACUGGAACUGAGACACGGUCCAGACUCCUACGGGAGGCAGCAGUGGGGAAUAUUGGACAAUGGGCGCAAGCCUGAUCCAGCCAUACCGCGUGGGUGAAGAAGGCCUUCGGGUUGUAAAGCCCUUUUGUUGGGAAAGAAAAGCAGCCAGUUAAUACCUGGUUGUUCUGACGGUACCCAAAGAAUAAGCACCGGCUAACUUCGUGCCAGCAGCCGCAGUAACAC